rnacentral:rRNA from 1 species
CCUACGGGAGGCUGCAGUAGGGAAUAUUGCUCAAUGGGGGAAACCCUGAAGCAGCAACGCCGCGUGGAGGAUGAAGGUUUUCGGAUUGUUAACCCCUUUUGUUAGAGAAGAUAAUGCCGGUAUCUAACGAAUAAGCACCGGCUAACUCCGUGCCAGCAGCCGGGGUAAUACGGGGGGUGCAAGCGUUACUCGGAAUCACUGGGCGUAAAGGGCGUGUAGGCGGGAUAGCAAGUCAGAUGUGAAAUCCUAUGGCUUAACCAUAGAACUGCAUUUGAAACUGGUAUUCUAGAGUUGGAGAGAGGUAGGUGGAAUGCUUGGUGUAGGGGUGAAAUGCAUAGAGAUCAAGAAGAACACCGAUUGCGAAGGCAGCCUGCGGGAUCCAAACUGACGCUGAUGCGCGAAAGCGUGGGGAUCGAACAGGAUUAGAUACCCGAGUAGUC